UGAGGAAUAUUGGGCAAUGGAGGAAACUCUGACCCAGCAACGCCGCGUGAAGGAAGAAGGUUUUCGGAUUGUAAACUUCUGUUAUAGGGGAAAAAUAAAGUGAUGGUACCCUAUGAGAAAGCUACGGCAAACUAUGUGCCAGCAGCCGCGGUAAUACAUAGGUAGCAAGCGUUAUCCGGAAUAACUGGGCGUAAAGGGAGCGUAGGUGGCGAUGUAAGUCUCAUGUGAAAGCCCGUGGCUUAACCACGGAACUGCAUGAGAUACUGUGUUGCUAGAGUGCGGGAAAGGCAAAUGGAAUUCCUAGUGUAGCGGUAGAAUGCGUAGAGAUUAGGAGGAACACCGGAGGCGAAGGCGAUUUGCUGGAACGCAACUGACACUGAGGCUCGAAAGCGUGGGGAGCAAACAGG
rnacentral:rRNA from 1 species